GACGUAGGGCGCGAGCGUUGUCCGGACUUAUUGGGCGUAAAGAGCUCGUAGGCGGUCUGUUACGUCUGCUGUGAAAACCCGGGGCUUAACCCUGGGCUUGCAGUGGAUACGGGCAGACUAGAGGCAGGUAGGGGAGAAUGGAAUUCCCGGUGUAGCGGUGAAAUGCGCAGAUAUCGGGAGGAACACCGGUGGCGAAGGCGGUUCUCUGGGCCUGACCUGACGCUGAGGAGCGAAAGCGUGGGGAGCGAACAGG
rnacentral:rRNA from 1 species